rnacentral:rRNA from 1 species
GAUGAACGCUAGCUACAGGCUUAACACAUGCAAGUCGAGGGGUCUCGCGGGAGCUUGCUUCCAAGAGACGACCGGCGCACGGGUGAGUAACGCGUAUCCAACCUGCCCUUCAUAUUGGGAUAGCCUUCCGAAAGGAAGAUUAAUACCGAAUAACAUGAGAAAGUUGCCUGAUUCUCUCAUGAAAGCUCCGGCGAUGAAGGAUGGGGAUGCGUUCCAUUAGGUAGUAGGCGGGGUAACGGCCCACCUAGCCCACGAUGGAUAGGGGUUCUGAGAGGAAGGUCCCCCACACUGGAACUGAGACACGGUCCAGACUCCUACGGGAGGCAGCAGUGAGGAAUAUUGGUCAAUGGGCGCAAGCCUGAACCAGCCAAGUAGCGUGAAGGAUGACUGCCCUAUGGGUUGUAAACUUCUUUUAUACGGGAACAAACCUUGGUACGCGUACCAAAUUGCGUGUACCGUAUGAAUAAGCAUCGGCUAACUCCGUGCCAGCCGCCGCGGUAACAC